rnacentral:rRNA from 1 species
GACGAACGCUGGCGGCGUGCUUAACACAUGCAAGUCGAACGGAAAGGCCCUGCUUUUGUGGGGUGCUCGAGUGGCGAACGGGUGAGUAACACGUGAGUAACCUCCCCUUGAUUUUGGGAUAACUUCAGAAAACUGGGGCUAAUACCGGAUAGGACCUCCUGCUGCAUGGGGGGGGUUGGAAAUUUUCGGCGGUUGGGGAUGGACUCGCGGCUUAUCAGCUUGUUGGUGGGGUAGUGGCUUACCAAGGCUUUGACGGGUAGCCGGCCUGAGAGGGUGACCGGCCACAUUGGGACUGAGAUACGGCCCAGACUCCUACGGGAGGCAGCAGUGGGGAAUAUUGCACAAUGGGCGGAAGCCUGAUGCAGCAACGCCGCGUGCGGGAUGACGGCCUUCGGGUUGUAAACCGCUUUCGCCUGUGACGAAGCGUGAGUGACGGUAAUGGGUAAAGAAGCACCGGCUAACUACGUG